UACGUAGGCAGCGAGCGUUGUUCGGAGUUAUUGGGCGUAAAGAGCGUGUAGGCGGUUCGGUAAGUCUGCCGUGAAAACCUGGGGCUCAACCCCGGGCGUGCGGUGGAUACUGCCGGGCUAGAGGGUGGUAGAGGCGAGUGGAAUUCCCGGUGUAGCGGUGAAAUGCGUAGAGAUCGGGAGGAACACCGGCGGCGAAGGCGGCUGCCUGGACCGGCCCUGACGCUGAGGCGCGAAAGCUAGGGGAGCAAACAGG
rnacentral:rRNA from 1 species